GCGGCGUGCUUAACACAUGCAAGUCGAACGGAAAGGCCCUGCUUUUGUGGGGUGCUCGAGUGGCGAACGGGUGAGUAACACGUGAGUAACCUGCCCUUGACUUUGGGAUAACUUCAGGAAACUGGGGCUAAUACCGGAUAGGAGCUCCUGCUGCAUGGUGGGGGUUGGAAAGUUUCGGCGGUUGGGGAUGGACUCGCGGCUUAUCAGCUUGUUGGUGGGGUAGUGGCUUACCAAGGCUUUGACGGGUAGCCGGCCUGAGAGGGUGACCGGCCACAUUGGGACUGAGAUACGGCCCAGACUCCUACGGGAGGCAGCAGUGGGGAAUAUUGCACAAUGGGCGGAAGCCUGAUGCAGCAACGCCGCGUGCGGGAUGACGGCCUUCGGGUUGUAAACCGCUUUCGCCUGUGACGAAGCGUGAGUGACGGUAAUGGGUAAAGAAGCACCGGCUAACUACGUGCCAGCAGCCGCGGUGAUACGUAGGGUGCGAGCGUUGUCCGGAUUUAUUGGGCGUAAAGGGCUCGUAGGUGGUUGAUCGCGUCGGAAGUGUAAUCUUGGGGCUUAACCCUGAGCGUGCUUUCGAUACGGGUUGACUUGAGGAAGGUAGGGGAGAAUGGAAUUCCUGGUGGAGCGGUGGAAUGCGCAGAUAUCAGGAGGAACACCAGUGGCGAAGGCGGUUCUCUGGGCCUUUCCUGACGCUGAGGAGCGAAAGCGUGGGGAGCGAACAGGCUUAGAUACCCUGGUAGUCCACGCUGUAAACGGUGGGUACUAGGUGUGGGGUCCAUUCCACGGGUUCCGUGCCGUAGCUAACGCUUUAAGUACCCCGCCUGGGGAGUACGGCCGCAAGGCUAAAACUCAAAGGAAUUGACGGGGCCCCGCACAAGCGGCGGAGCAUGCGGAUUAAUUCGAUGCAACGCGUAGAACCUUACCUGGGUUUGACAUGGAUCGGGAGUGCUCAGAGAUGGGUGUGCCUCUUUUGGGGUCGGUUCACAGGUGGUGCAUGGCUGUCGUCAGCUCGUGUCGUGAGAUGUUGGGUUAAGUCCCGCAACGAGCGCAACCCUUGUUCACUGUUGCCAGCACGUUAUGGUGGGGACUCAGUGGAGACCGCCGGGGUCAACUCGGAGGAAGGUGGGGAUGACGUCAAGUCAUCAUGCCCCUUAUGUCCAGGGCUUCACGCAUGCUACAAUGGCUGGUACAGAGAGUGGCGAGCCUGUGAGGGUGAGCGAAUCUCGGAAAGCCGGUCUCAGUUCGGAUUGGGGUCUGCAACUCGACCUCAUGAAGUCGGAGUCGCUAGUAAUCGCAGAUCAGCAACGCUGCGGUGAAUACGUUCCCGGGGCUUGUACACACCGCCCGUCAAGUCAUGAAAGUUGGUAACACCCGAAGCCGGUGGCCUAACCGUUGUGGGGGAGCCGUCGAAGGUGGGACUGGUGAUUAGGACUAAGUCAUAACAAG
rnacentral:rRNA from 1 species